rnacentral:rRNA from 1 species
AUUGAACGCUGGCGGCAUGCUUUACACAUGCAAGUAGAACGGUAACAGGCCGCAAGGUGCUGACGAGUGGCGAACGGGUGAGUAAUGCAUCGGAACGUGCCCAGUCGUGGGGGAUAACGCAGCGAAAGCUGUGCUAAUACCGCAUACGAUCUGUGGAUGAAAGCGGGGGACCGUAGGGCCUCGCGCGAUUGGAGCGGCCGAUGGCAGAUGAGGUAGUUGGUGGGGUAAAGGCCUACCAAGCCGACGAUCUGUAGCGGGUCUGAGAGGACGACCAGCCACACUGGGACUGAGACACGGCCCAGACUCCUACGGGAGGCAGCAGUGGGGAAUUUUGGACAAUGGGCGCAAGCCUGAUCCAGCAAUGCCGCGUGCAGGAAGAAGGCCUUCGGGUUGUAAACUGCUUUUGUACGGAACGAAACGGUCUGGGUUAAUACCCUGGGCUAAUGACGGUACCGUAAGAAUAAGCACCGGCUAACUACGUGCCAGCCGCCGCGGUAACAC